rnacentral:rRNA from 1 species
GAAUCUGCCAGCACCAUCUGGUAAGGCUAAAUACUCCUGAGAGACCGAUAGUGAACAAGUACCGUGAGGGAAAGGUGAAAAGUACUUCGAACAGAAGAGUGAAAUAGACCCUGAAACCAUACGCUUACAAGCGGUCGGAGGUUAAAUCCUGAUUUAUCAGGACAUGACUGACGGCGUGCCUUUUGCAUAAUGAGCCUACGAGUUACUCCUCUCUAGCAAGGUUAAUCCCGGUUACGGGAGCAGCCGAAGCGAAAGCAAGUCUGAAUAGGGCGUUUUAGUUAGAGGGGGUAGACGCGAAACUUUGUGAUCUACCCAUGGCCAGGUUGAAGCUUCGGUAAAACGCAGUGGAGGACCGAACCAGUACACGUUGAAAAGUGUUUGGAUGAGCUGUGGGUAGGGGUGAAAGGCUAAUCAAACUAAGAGAUAGCUCGUACUCUCCGAAAUGCUUUUAGGAGCAGCCUCGAGUAUAAGUGUCAUAGAGGUAGAGCUACUGAUUGGGCUAGGGGGCUUCACCGCCUACCAAACCCUGACAAACUCCGAAUGCUAUGACAUGUUCCUCAGCAGUGAGGGCGCGGGUGCUAAGGUCCGUGUCCGAGAGGGAAAGAACCCAGACUACCAGCUAAGGUCCCAAAAUAUAUGUUAAGUUGAACUAACGAGGUCUGAUUGCAGAGACAGCUAGGAUGUUGGCUUGGAAGCAGCCACUCAUUUAAAGAGUGCGUAACAGCUCACUAGUCGAGCGAUUGGGCAUGGAUGAUAAUCGGGCAUAAAACAUAUUACCGAAGCUGUAGAAUUAUUUAUAAUUGGUAGGGGAGCAUUCCUAUCAGCGCUGAAGGUGAAUCGUAAGGUUUGCUGGAGCGUUAGGAAAAGAAAAUGUAGGCAUAAGUAACGAUAAUGCGGGUGAGAAACCCGCACACCGGAAGACUAAGGUUUCCUGAUCAACGCUAAUCGGAUCAGGGUUAGUCGGGUCCUAAGGCGAACCCGAAAGGGGUAGUCGAUGGAUAACUGGUUAAUAUUCCAGUACCAGCUUAUACUGCGAUGGGGUGACGGAGAAGUGAAAGACCCGCGUGCUGACGGAAUAGCACGUUGAACACUGUAGGUAUAUGAUAAGUAGGCAAAUCCGCUUAUCAUGCUGAAGGUGGAUAGUACCACAAGGUUUCGGCUGCGUGGAUAGUGGUCCUAAUCCUGCUUCCAAGAAAACCCCCUAAGCGUCAGGUAUAAGCUGCCCGUACCGUAAACCGACACAGGUAGUCGAGGAGAGAAUCCAAAGGUGCUCGAGUGAUUCAUAGCUAAGGAACUAGGCAAAAUUACCCCGUAACUUCGGGAGAAGGGGUGCCACCAGCAAUGGUGGCCGCAGUGAAAAGACCCAGGCGACUGUUUAUCAAAAACACAUGGCUUUGCUAAAUUUAAAGAUGACGUAUAAGGCCUGACACCUGCCCGGUGCCGGAAGGUUAAGAGGAGGGCUUAUUAGAGAGGCUUUGCCACUCUAAGAAGGUCUGAAUUGAAGCCCCGGUAAACGGCGGCCGUAACUAUAACGGUCCUAAGGUAGCGAAAUUCCUUGUCGGGUAAGUUCCGACCUGCACG